rnacentral:rRNA from 1 species
UACGUAGGGUGCAAGCGUUGUCCGGAAUUAUUGGGCGUAAAGAGCUCGUAGGCGGUUUGUCGCGUCUGUUGUGAAAACUCGGGGCUUAACUCCGGGCCUGCAGUGGGUACGGGCAGACUAGAGUGCGGUAGGGGAGACUGGAAUUCCUGGUGUAGCGGUGAAAUGCGCAGAUAUCGAGGAGGAACACCGGUGGCGAAGGCGGGUUCUGGC